rnacentral:misc_RNA from 1 species
AAAUCAUUUAGAAACACUUGUAAGAAAUCAAUAAGGUUAUUACAUAUACUUUUAAACUCAAAGAAGAUAUGCCACUUAAAAAAUAUACAUUAAAAUAACAUAUAUCAAUGAGUACAAGACAAAAAAAAUGCCUGAAAAAAUAUAAAGGGAAAAUUUUGGGGAAAAAAUUGACAAGCACAAAUUAAAAUUGAUCCAAACAAGACUUUCUUCUCUUAAUUUUCAACAUUCACUAUAGCAAAGAUUUAACAUAGACUUCAUCUCUUUGUCGUCGUCAUCAUCAUCUUGGAUUAUAGCAAGAAUACAACCAAUCCAUGUAGAAAAUUUACCACAAUCACAUAUUUUUGCGAUCAAUUCAUUGACAUAAGGGUUAUAGAAGACUAUAUGUAGUUAUCUUAUACAAGUAUGCUUGAAAUCACCGCCUCAAGCUCUCCACUAUGUAGUCAGCAUAGAGAUUCCUUCAAAAGGACGAAAAAAAAAAUGAAUAGAUGAGAAUGAAACAAAUCAAAAAACAAACAAUCGUAAAAACUCUGAUUCAAAUCUAACAGUGGACGAGUCAUGUUUAGGGAUUUUGUUAUGGGAUAGGCAAAUAUAUGGCAUGUUUUGACAUUUAAAAAAUAAAUAUAAAAAAAAUUGAAAAAAUGCACCAAUUACCAACUAAUUUGAUGAAUGUUAGACACUCAUUCCCCUUGGCAAACGAGAAUUGCAGCAUGCCAAAUUCAUAUUGCUUGCUUUUGGGAUUAUCGCUCUUCAUCUUUUUUUUUGCAAAUUUCAAGAUUCAUCAGUUUAUUUUUUUUCAUUGACCAGUUUAAUCAACAAAGAAAUAACACAGGGAAAAAAUAGUUGCUCAUCUAGUCUGGAAUAAAUGUCUUGGCUUAUCUGCUCAUAUAAUUGUGAGUAUUUGGGCUGGGGUGGGGGAUUGGUUCAAAAAGAGGUCUAUUACUUACAUGGAAUGCUGGACUGCUUUAUAGGCAUCAGAGGCUGGAAGGAAGUCAUUAACUGCAACUUCUUUGUUUUCAUUUUUCUUGUCUGAACAUGUUAUUAAGGAAAAAAUAUAUAUAUGUAUUUUACUUUCGUAGCCUUCAUAAAAGGAAAAAUGCAUGCCUAAAACUUUUGUAGUGCACACACAGGCUCCUUGCUAAACAAUAUUAAAAUAUAGAGAUGAGCCCAGUCCGGGUUUGGGCAGGAACUGGAUGAAACGGAUUGAUUUUGACAGGUUUGGUCCAGUUCCAGAUCAAAACCUGGAUUUUUCACUUUUAAUUUCUUUUUUUUUAAAAAAAAUUGACUGUUGGAUCAAAUAAAACUGGAUGAACCGAAUGGAAUUGAAACCAAAACUAAACGAAAACCAAACUGAAACCGAGGGAACCUUUCGGUCUCCAGGGCCUCCAAAACUUAUGAGCAGAACUGCUCCAAAGCUUAAACAAAUACUUCAAAGGAUACAAUCUUCAAAGAAGCGACGGAUCUCAGCCAAGCGAUGUGGCGGGAGUUCCUUGAUAUCAUUGUAGUGGCGAUACUCAGGAUCAUCAGCACAAACAGCAAUUAUCUUAUCAUCUUUUUCACCCUGAUCAAUCAUUGGCAUAACUCCAAUAGCUUUAGCCCUAAGAAAGCACCCUGGAAGGACUGGUUCCUGCAUGAUAAUCAAGACAUCUAGGGGAUCAUUGUCCUCACAUAGAGUACGAGGGAUGAAGCCAUAGUUGUGGGGAUACACAACUGAGGAGUAAAGAACACGAUCAACCUUGAUGAGUCCAGUUUUUUUGUCAAGUUCAUAUUUAACCUUGCUUCCUUUUCCUAUUUCAAUCACACAGUUGAAUAUCUUAGGAGCUCCAGGUCCUAUCUCUAGAUCAUGCCAGGGGUGUGCAGCCACAGACCUCCUGGUCAUUGAUGAAAGUAUCCUCUCAUUAAGAGGUGGAUGUGAGGACUGUUUAGAGACAUGAGUCUUGUCUGGAGUCUCAAUAGGUGGAACCAUAUCUGCAACCUAAAAACACUAGGAACAAUAAUCAGUACGCUAUCACAUUGGGUAUAAACCAACAACUAUUAAAUAUGGAUGAUUUUGCAAUCUAGUUUCAUCAAACAAAGCAUUACAUCCCAAGCAAUGAUACCUUGUAUUGUAUGCACAGAGUCUUCAAAAAAAGCCUCUUACACUUAAAGUACUGCAUUGAACAAGGACCAUGGAAACCACAUAAAAACUACAAACAUCAAGUAGAAAAGUGAAGGAUAAUAGUGUCCAGGCUUCACGUUUUCAGGUCUGCCUGAUAUGGGAAAAAAUUCAAUAGAAGGUGCCUGUCUUUCAUUUUAGGACAUUUCAUUUGUUUGUAUGUAGGUUUUUUUUUUAAGUGAAGGUAAGAUAAGGUAAGGUAAUGCAAGAUAAGAUAUCAAAACCCUCCCAAUUCACCAAUUUAGUGGAGUUGAAAAGGUAAAAGUUUUGAAAGUUUUAAAACCUAAAAAAAUCUUAAUCUCCCUAAAACAUCUUGCUCCCAAACAAGACAUCCAUGUAUUUACUACAUUAAAAAAAAUAUAUCUUACCUCUAAAAACUUCCUCACCCACAAACAUAGCGAAGCUCCCACCAUCAUUUAACUCUAGUUGUCUUUCUGUUUUACCUAUUUUUUAAGUACCAAAGAAAAAUAAAAAGAUGUUUGGGGAAAAAAAAUUGAAUGCCUAAGAGGCCACUUUUUGUAGAUCAAACAAGAAUAAUACAUUUGUUUUACAUGAGAACUAAUCAUCUCAUUUGCCAAUCUCACAAGUUCCUUCCACCCCAUGUGUUGCAAUGCUUAACACUGCAGCACACGAAUAUUCUCGACUUAGCCACUUGGCAAAUUAGAAGUAUUACGCUCGUGAAAUGAAAAAGGAAAGGAUAUAAUUUUCAAAGUCGUGCAAGUCUAAAUUUUUCUGAGUCGGUGUUGUGCUUCAAACGCCAAACUUGCCUUCAGUUCUAAAAAUCAACGUAAGCAUCUCCAUAAUGCAAACCAAACAAAAAAUUAGAUUCUUAAAAAAUUUCCAUAAUAAAGUCCAGCCUAAACAAUUGGGAGGAAAAAAUACAAAUCCCACGUCAUAAAAUCUAACAGAUAAAAAGAACACGAGAAAUUUUAGAAUAUACAAUGAACUUAUUAUAGUCAUUGAUAAUGGUGGGUUCCAUCACAAUGAACACGAGGCCUUAAUUCCUCAUAUAUUUGGUAAACUAGCAGGCAAACAUUAAUCAAGUUCUAAUCAAAUAAUUUCAAGAAAAACAAUCACACAAACAAAUACACCAUCCAAACAGUAUCUGAAUCGAAGACUGCUCCAAAAUACACGGCAAAUAUAAGCAGGGAUCUAGCAAAUGAUGAAGCUAAGUUCAUUACAAAUAGAAAAAAUCAAAAAAAAAAAAAAAA